GACUCGUUAGCUCAGUAGGUUAGAGCGCCGAUAUACAAAAAUGCUUGACCAUCGGAGGGCGAAGGUUCAAAUCCUUCACGAGUCA
rfam:Danaus plexippus plexippus isolate F-2 unplaced genomic scaffold DPSCF300279, whole genome shotgun sequence.